rnacentral:rRNA from 1 species
UACGGAGGGUGCAAGCGUUAUCCGGAUUCACUGGGUUUAAAGGGUGCGUAGGCGGGCAGGUAAGUCCGUGGUGAAAUCUCUGAGCUUAACUCAGAAACUGCCAUGGAUACUAUUUGUCUUGAAUAUUGUGGAGGUAAGCGGAAUAUGUCAUGUAGCGGUGAAAUGCUUAGAUAUGACAUAGAACACCAAUUGCGAAAGGC